GACGAACGCUGGCGGCGUGCCUAACACAUGCAAGUCGAGCGGAGAUAUUUGGAGGAAGUUUUCGGAUGGAAUCCAGAUAUUUUAGCGGCGGACGGGUGAGUAACGCGUGAGCAACCUGCCUUUCACAGGGGGAUAAGACGGCGAAAGCCGUUCUAAUACCGCAUGAGACCACAGAGAUGAUAUUUCAGGGGUCAAAGGAGCAAUCCGGUGAAAGAUGGGCUCGCGUCCGAUUAGGUAGUUGGUGAGGUAACGGCCAACCAAGCCAAUGAUCGGUAGCCGGCCUGAGAGGGUGAACGGCCACAUUGGAACUGAGAGACGGUCCAAACUCCUACGGGAGGCAGCAGUGGGGAAUAUUGGGCAAUGGGGGAAACCCUGACCCAGCAACGCCGCGUGAGGGAAGAAGGUUUUCGGAUUGUAAACCUCUGUUCUUGGAGAAGAGAAGAAGUCGGUAUCCAAGGAGGAAGCCCCGGCUAACUACGUGCCAGCAGCCGCGGUAA
rnacentral:rRNA from 1 species